rnacentral:lncRNA from 1 species
CCUGCCGUUUAGGCUACUGCACCUCCCAACCCCACUGCCGUCGCUGCCACUGCUGCUGUGUUGCUAAUUCCCGCCGCCGCCGUGCCUGCCGUUUAGGCUACUGCACCUCCCAGCCCCAACGCCGUCGCUGCCGCUGUUGCUGUGUUGCUAUUUCCCGCCGCCGCCACGCCUGCCGUUUAGGCUACUGCACCUCCCAACCCCACUGCCGUCGCUGCCACUGCUGCUGCGUUGCUAUUUCCCGCCGCUGCCGCGCCUGCUGGACUUGCAUUUCUGGACUGGCGAGAAUUUUGAAAAUUUUGUUUCACCGAAAUGGCAUCCCUGGAUCACACUUGCGAUUUAUUGUAUGUGCUGCUACUACUACUACUACUACUACUUGUAUGUAUAUAGUAGUACUGGUACUACCCUUUAGUAUAAUAGUAGUAGGUAUAUAGUCAGAGAAAGAAAAAUGACUUCCAUGCCAGAGUUGAACUGGCAGCCACAGCAAUACCAAAAUAGUGUUUGUAUGUUCUCUGUGGCUACAUCACUUGGAAGAGAGUGAAAAGAGAAAAGAUUGGAUGGCCAAUUGGAUGUGGCCCAUUUUUGUAAAAUAAAGGCCCUCCCUAAUGCACCUCCCAGCCCCAACGCCGUCGCUGCCGCUGCUACUCCGUUGCUAAUUCCCACCGCCGCCGUGCCUGCUGUUGAGAGUAAUGGCCCUCCCAGCCCCACCUUCGUCGCUGCCACUGCUGCUGGGUUGCUAAUUCCCGCCGCCGCCGCGCCUGCCGUUUAGGCUACUGCACCUCCCAGCCCCAACACUGUCGCUGCCGCUGCUGCUGCGUUGCUAUUUCCUGCCACCGCCGUGCCUGCCAUUUAGGCUACUGCACCUCCCAGCCCCAACGCAGUCGCUGCCGCUGCUACUCCGUUGC